GACGAACGCUGGCGGCGUGCUUAACACAUGCAAGUCGAACGAAGAGCGAUGGAAGCUUGCUUCUAUCAAUCUUAGUGGCGAACGGGUGAGUAACGCGUAAUCAACCUGCCCUUCAGAGGGGGACAACAGUUGGAAACGACUGCUAAUACCGCAUACGAUCCAAUCUCGGCAUCGGGACUGGAUGAAAGGUGGCCUCUAUUUAUAAGCUAUCACUGAAGGAGGGGAUUGCGUCUGAUUAGCUAGUUGGAGGGGUAACGGCCCACCAAGGCGAUGAUCAGUAGCCGGUCUGAGAGGAUGAACGGCCACAGUGGGACUGAGACACGGCCCAGACUCCUACGGGAGGCAGCAGUGGGGAAUCUUCCGCAAUGGACGAAAGUCUGACGGAGCAACGCCGCGUGAGUGAUGACGGCCUUCGGGUUGUAAAGCUCUGUUAAUCGGGACGAAUGGUUCUUGUGCGAAUAGUGCGAGGAUUUGACGGUACCGGAAGAGAAAGCCACGGCUAACUACGUG
rnacentral:rRNA from 1 species